rnacentral:rRNA from 1 species
CCUACGGGAGGCAGCAGUAGGGAAUCUUCCGCAAUGGACGAAAGUCUGACGGAGCAACGCCGCGUGAGCGAUGAAGGCCUUCGGGUCGUAAAGCUCUGUUGUUAGGGAAGAAUAAGUGCUAGUUGAAUAAGCUGGCACCUUGACGGUACCUAACCAGAAAGCCACGGCUAACUACGUGCCAGCAGCCGCGGUAAUACGUAGGUGGCAAGCGUUGUCCGGAAUUAUUGGGCGUAAAGCGCGCGCAGGCGGUUUCUUAAGUCUGAUGUGAAAGCCCCCGGCUCAACCGGGGAGGGUCAUUGGAAACUGGGAAACUUGAGUGCAGAAGAGGAAAGUGGAAUUCCAAGUGUAGCGGUGAAAUGCGUAGAGAUUUGGAGGAACACCAGUGGCGAAGGCGACUUUCUGGUCUGUAACUGACGCUGAGGCGCGAAAGCGUGGGGAGCAAACAGGAUUAGAUACCCUGGUAGUCCACGCUGUAAACGAUGAGUGCUAAGUGUUAGAGGGUUUCCGCCCUUUAGUGCUGAAGUUAACGCAUUAAGCACUUCCGCCUGGGGAGUACGGUCGCAAGACUGAAACUCAAAGGAAUUGACGGGGGCCCGCACAAGUGGUGGAGCAUGUGGUUUAAUUCGAAGCAACGCGAAGAACCUUAC